UACGGAGGGUGCAAGCGUUAAUCGGAAUUACUGGGCGUAAAGCGUGCGUAGGCGGUUCGUUAAGUCAGAUGUGAAAUCCCCGGGCUUAACCUGGGAAUUGCGUUUGAAACUGCAGAUCUAGAGUGCGGCAGAGGGAGGUGGAAUUCCAUGUGUAGCAGUGAAAUGCGUAGAGAUAUGGAAGAACAUCGAUGGCGAAGGCAACCUCCUGGGCUAGCACUGACGCUCAUGCACGAAAGCGUGGGGAGCAAACAGGAUUAGAUACCCUGGUAGUCCACGCCCUAAACUAUGUCAACUAGUUGUCGGGCCUUAUUGGGCUUGGUAACGUAGCUAACGCGUGAAGUUGACCGCCUGGGGAGUACGGUCGCAAGAUUAAAACUUAAAGGAAUUGACGG
rnacentral:rRNA from 1 species